rnacentral:rRNA from 1 species
GACGUAGGGCGCGAGCGUUGUCCGGAUUAUUGGCGUAAAGAGCUCGUAGGCGGCUUGUCGCGUCGAAUGUGAAAGCCCAGGGCUCAACUCUGGAAGUGCACUCGAUACUGGCUCGCUAGAGUACUGGAGAGGUUGGUGGAAUUCUCGGUGUAGAGGUGAAAUUCGUAGAUAUCGAGAGGAACACCGGUGGCGAAGGCGGCCAACUGGACAGAUACUGACGCUGAGACACGAAAGCGUGGGGAGCGAACAGG